rnacentral:tRNA from 1 species
GAGUUGAUAGUUAAAAUAUAACAUUAAGUUGCAAGCUUAAAGGUGGGUGACCCCCAACUCU